CGCGGUAAUACGGAGGGUGCGAGCGUUAAUCGGAAUUACUGGGCGUAAAGCGCAUGCAGGCGGCCUGUUAAGUCAGAUGUGAAAGCCCGGGGCUUAACCUCGGAAUUGCAUUUGAAACUGGCAGGCUAUAGUCUUGUGGAGGGGGGUAGAAUUUCAGGUGUAGCGGUGAAAUGCGUAAAGAUCUGAAGGAAUACCAGUGGCGAAGGCGGCCCCCUGGACAAAGACUGACGCUCAGAUGCGAAAGCGUGGGGAGCAAACAGGAUUAGAUACCCUGGUAGUCCACGCCGUAAACGAUGUCUACUUGGAGGUUGUGGCCUUGAGCCGUGGCUUUCGGAGCUAACGCGUUAACUACACCGCCUGGGGAGUACGGUCGCAAGAUUAAAACUCAAAUGAAUUGACGGGGGCCCGCACAAGCGGUGGAGCAUGUGGUUUAAUUCGAUGCAACGCGAAUAACCUUACCUACUCUUGACAUCCAUAGAA
rnacentral:rRNA from 1 species